GGCGGCCCCGGGGCUCCGAGCGCCGCCUCAGCUUCUGCGACCCCCCUUUUCCCCACUUAGAAUCGUGCCGAGGGAUCUGGAGACGUCCUAGAGAGGUUUGGGGGC
rnacentral:lncRNA from 7 species